AUUGAACGCUGGCGGCAUGCUUUACACAUGCAAGUCGAACGGUAACAGGCCGCAAGGUGCUGACGAGUGGCGAACGGGUGAGUAAUGCAUCGGAACGUGCCCAGUCGUGGGGGAUAACGCAGCGAAAGCUGCGCUAAUACCGCAUACGAUCUAUGGAUGAAAGCGGGGGACCGUAAGGCCUCGCGCGAUUGGAGCGGCCGAUGUCAGAUUAGGUAGUUGGUGGGGUAAAGGCUCACCAAGCCAACGAUCUGUAGCUGGUCUGAGAGGACGACCAGCCACACUGGGACUGAGACACGGCCCAGACUCCUACGGGAGGCAGUAGUGGGGAAUUUUGGACAAUGGGCGCAAGCCUGAUCCAGCAAUGCCGCGUGCAGGAAGAAGGCCUUCGGGUUGUAAACUGCUUUUGUACGGAACGAAACGGCUCUGGUUAAUACCUGGGGCUAAUGACGGUACCGUAAGGAUAAGCACCGGCUAACUACGUGCCAGCCGCCGCGGUAAAAC
rnacentral:rRNA from 1 species